AUUGAACGCUAGCGGGAUGCCUUACACAUGCAAGUCGAACGGAGUGGCGAACGGGUGAGUAAUGUAUAGGAACGUGCCCAGUAGCGGGGGGUAACUACGCGAAAGCGUAGCUAAUACCGCAUACUAGUGGUGAGGCCGCUAUCGGAUUCGCUAGUUGGUGGGGUAACGGAUCACCAAGACGACGAUCCGUAGCUGGAUUGAGAGGAUGACCAGCCACACUGGGACUGAGACACGGCCCAGACUCCUACGGGAGGCAGCAGUGGGGAAUUUUGGACAAUGGGGGAAACCCUGAUCCAGCCAUCCCGCGUGUGCGAUGAAGGCCUUCGGGUUGUAAAGCACUUUUGGCAGGAAAGCGGUACCUGCAGAAUAAGCACCGGCUAACUACGUGCCAGCAGCCGCGGUAAUUC
rnacentral:rRNA from 1 species